rnacentral:rRNA from 1 species
UAGCAUAUCAAUAAGCGGAGGAAAAGAAACCAACAGGGAUUGCCCUAGUAACGGCGAGUGAAGCGGCAACAGCUCAAAUUUGAAAUCUGGCCCUCGGGUCCGAGUUGUAAUUUGUAGAGGAUGCUUUUGGUGAGGUGCCUUCCGAGUUCCCUGGAACGGGACGCCAUAGAGGGUGAGAGCCCCGUCUGGUUGGACACCGAGCCUCUGUAAAGCUCCUUCGACGAGUCGAGUAGUUUGGGAAUGCUGCUCUAAAUGGGAGGUAUAUGUCUUCUAAAGCUAAAUACCGGCCAGAGACCGAUAGCGCACAAGUAGAGUGAUCGAAAGAUGAAAAGCACUUUGAAAAGAGAGUUAAAAAGUACGUGAAAUUGUUGAAAGGGAAGCGCUUAUGACCAGACUUGGGCUUGGUUGAUCAUCCUGGGUUCUCCCUGGUGCACUCUUCCAGUUCAGGCCAGCAUCAGUUCGCUGCGGGGGAUAAAAGUUUUGGGAAUGUGGCUCCUCCGGGAGUGUUAUAGCCCAUUUCAUAAUACCCUGCUCCGGACUGAGGUUCGCGCAUCUGCAAGGAUGCUGGCGUAAUGGUCAUCAGCGACCCGUCUUGAAACACGGACCAAGGAGUCGUCUUCGUAUGCGAGUGUUCGGGUGUUAAACCCCUACGCGUAAUGAAAGUGAACGCAGGUGAGAGCUUCGGCGCAUCAUCGACCGAUCCUGAUGUUCUCGGAUGGAUUUGAGUAAGAGCAUACGGGGCCGGACCCGAAAGAAGGUGAACUAUGCCUGUAUAGGGUGAAGCCAGAGGAAACUCUGGUGGAGGCUCGCAGCGGUUCUGACGUGCAAAUCGAUCGUCAAAUAUGGGCAUGGGGGCGAAAGACUAAUCGAACCUUCUAGUAGCUGGUUUCCGCGA